rnacentral:lncRNA from 1 species
CUAAAAAUUGUUAUGGCUAAGCAAUAAAUCCCUGGAAAAUGAUGCCUAUAUUUGUAAUAGAAAUGUCACCAGAGCUUUAAAUAUAGCAGUGUGACGUGUCUCUAUUACCAUGCAGCAAAGUCAAAUUCGUAAUUGAUUUUGACUUGUACCUCCUAUAAUGUGUGCUGAGUCUGGUGGCACUGUCCAGGAUUCUUACAAAUUUUAAACCCCAAUGUCAUUUAAUUAGACUAAUCUGCAAGUCAGUCUUCUCCCCUUGUAAUUUGUACACACCUUUCUCUUCUAAGAGCAGAUGAAUGGGUUCUUUGAGUAUUUGAUUUGUAAAUAAUGGAUUUCAGUAGUUGUUACAAUAGUUCUUGGAACUUUUAUAUCUUCCAGCUGCACUUAGAUGAUGAGAGGUAAAAUGAAGAAAUCUCCAAAUCAAAUUUUUCGUUCAUACAGAACUGAACCUCUGAUUGUAAGGGCACCGAUGGACAGUCUACAGCUGUUAUGAAACCAUGUGUCAACAUUACGUAUCAAAGUGAUGUGAUGGGGCUAGACUCUGGGGUUGAAAAGAUAUCACAAAAUAAGGACAAACUGAGAAACUGUCACAGAUCUGGGGAGAUGAAGGACACAUGAUGACAAAACGUUAUGUGGUAUGUUGCAUUCGACCCUGGAACACAGGGGCUGAAUGGAGAGAUGAGUGGAAUCGAACAAAGUCUGGCAUUUGGUUUAUAGUAAGGUACCAGUGUUGGUAACUUAGUUUUGAAAAAGUAAUGGGAAACAGUAACCUUAAUAAGUAAGACUGAGUGAAGGGGAUAUGGGGACUCUGUACAAUGUCUGCAAUUUUUCGAUAAAUCUAAAGUUAUUCCAAAAUAAAAGUUUAUUUUUAAGAAAAGAUAUCCA